CUAAUCUUGGAGUUAAAGUGCCAGUGAACCCCAUAUUUGACAAUGACACCAUCAAGACAUUGCUGUUAUCGUCACAAGUUAUCUUUGACCAAGUGCAUGGAUUAACUUGAUUCUGAUUCCAAUCAGAAAGUUGAUCAUUCGAAGCAUUUAGUGAACUCUUCAAUGCAAACAGUGCAUCUCCCUGCUGAUCAGGCGAGACAAAUGAGUAGAGACAUGCUAAUAUCAGAAUUGCAAGGAACAGUUCCAUACUGCAGUUACUGUUCAAUUCUAUAGAUCAUGUAAACUUGUUUCCCUUCAUCGCUGUAACAUAAAGCACUAUCUUCCUUGGUAAUGACAAAUGGCGGUUCUUUAAGCAAGCACCAAUCUUUAUAGGCUGUGAAAGAAAGAGCAGAGUUUGAACCAAAGAUUAAAACUUUACUUUGAAUUAAG
rnacentral:misc_RNA from 1 species